AGGAUGAACGCUGGCGGUCUGCUUAACACAUGCAAGUCGAACGGAGUACCUCGGUACUUAGUGGCGGACGGGUGAGUAACGCGUGAGAAUCUGCCCUUAGGUCGGGGACAACCAUUGGAAACGAUGGCUAAUACCGGAUAAGCCGAGAGGUAAAAGAUUAAUUGCCUAGGGAAGAGCUCGCGUCUGAUUAGCUAGUUGGUGAGGUAAAGGCUCACCAAGGCAUCGAUCAGUAGCUGGUCUGAGAGGAUGAUCAGCCACACUGGGACUGAGACACGGCCCAGACUCCUACGGGAGGCAGCAGUGGGGAAUUUUCCGCAAUGGGCGAAAGCCUGACGGAGCAAGACCGCGUGAGGGAGGAAGGCUCUUGGGUUGUAAACCUCUUUUCUUGGGGAAGACAAAUGACGGUACCCAAGGAAUCAGCAUCGGCUAACUCCGUGCCAGCAGCCGC
rnacentral:rRNA from 1 species